GAUGACCGCUGGCGGCGUGCCUAAUACAUGCAAGUCGAGCGCAGGGGGCAGGGGGGAGUAACACGUGGAUAACCUCCUAUAAGACUGGGUUAACUGGGGGAAACAGGAGCUAAACCGGAUACUGAGAGAUGGCUCAGGGCUGCAUGAGCUAUUUGGUAAGGUAACGGCUUACCAAGGCAACCAUGCAUAGCCGACCUGAGAGGCUGAUCGGCCACAAUGGAGCGGAGACACGGUCCAAACUCCUACGGUAGGCAGAAGUAGGGAAUCUUCCGCAAUGGGCGAAAGCCGGACGGAGCAACGCCGCGUGAGUGAUGAAGGUCUUCGGAUCGUAAAACUCUGUUGUUAGGGAAGCGGUACCUAAUCAGAAAGCCACGGCUAACUACGUGCCAGCAGCCGCGGUAAUAC
rnacentral:rRNA from 1 species